rnacentral:ncRNA from 2 species
UCUAGUAGCUGGUUCCCUCCG